UACGAAGGGUGCAAGCGUUAAUCGGAAUUACUGGGCGUAAAGCGCGCGUAGGUGGUUCAGUAAGUUAGGAGUGAAAGCCCCGGGCUUAACCUGGGAAUUGCUUCUAAAACUGCUGAGCUAGAGUACGGUAGAGGGUGGUGGAAUUUCCUGUGUAGCGGUGAAAUGCGUAGAUAUAGGAAGGAACAUUAGUGGCGAAGGCGACCACCUGGACUGAUACUGACACUGAGGUGCGAAAGCGUGGGGAGCAAACAGG
rnacentral:rRNA from 1 species